rnacentral:rRNA from 1 species
UACGGGAGGCAGCAGUGGGGAAUAUUGCACAAUGGGCGCAAGCCUGAUGCAGCCAUGCCGCGUGUAUGAAGAAGGCCUUCGGGUUGUAAAGUACUUUCAGCGGGGAGGAAGGCGGUGAAGUUAAUAGCUUCACCGAUUGACGUUACCCGCAGAAGAAGCACCGGCUAACUCCGUGCCAGCAGCCGCGGUAAUACGGAGGGUGCAAGCGUUAAUCGGAAUUACUGGGCGUAAAGCGCACGCAGGCGGUCUGUCAAGUCGGAUGUGAAAUCCCCCGGGCUUAACCUGGGAACUGCAUUCGAAACUGGCAGGCUAGAGUCUUGUAGAGGGGGUAGAAUUCCAGGUGUAGCGGUGAAAUGCGUAGAGAUCUGGAGGAAUACCGGUGGCGAAGGCGGCCCCUGGGACAAAGACUGACGCUCAGGGUGCGAAAGCGUGGGGAGCAAACAGGGAUUAGAUACC